UGACAGGUGGUGCAUGGUUGUCGUCAGCUCGUGUCGUGAGAUGUUGGUUAAGUCCCGCAACGAGCGCAACCCUCGACCUUAGUUGCCAGCAUUCAGUUGGGCACUCUAAGGUGACUGCCGGCUAAAAGUACGGAGGAAGGUGGGAUGACGUCAAAUCAUCAUGCCCCUUAUGACCUGGGCUACACACGUGCUACAGUGGCCGGUACAGACGGACGCAAAGCCGCGAGGUGGAGCAAAUCCUAAAAAGCCGGUCUCAGUUCGGAUUGCAGGCUGCAAUUCGCCUGCAUGAAGUCGGAAUCGCUAGUAAUCGCAGGUCAGCAUACUGCGGUCGAAUACGUUCCCGGGCCUU
rnacentral:rRNA from 1 species